AUUAGACACUAAACCAAAACCAUUUUGUCUUGUGAAUUGUACUUCUGUAGGGGGCACGUUCAUGGACAUUAGAGUUAACUGAUGUCUGGUCUGGUAUCAAGGAAGAGAUGUUUUUAACUGUGUUUACGCUAAUCAAGCUAAUGAAUUUGGUACAUGUCAUAACAUCUAAGCCUUUGUAAGUUUGAAUAUUCACUUGUGACUUAAUCAGCUACUUAUAGCUUUUAUUAGGCUGUAUAUUGCUCAGUCCUGUAAGUUUGGUGUUACACAUUGCACAUUUGCUUUAUUAGGCUGUAUAUCACUUGUGAUAGUGAAAUGCGAACGGAUCGCUCGUGCUCUGCUUGGGUGACUUGCGCAGAGCACUGUGUCCGGGCUGAACCGUGGCCUGGCAGCGAGCCAGGAGGACCUGGACCACACGGACGCGGCGGCGGGGUGCCCCGUUGACACGCGCACGGUCAACGUGCUCAUCAGGGGCUACGGGCAGUCUUUGCAUCUCAACGACGCGCUACGCCUGUUCCACCAGAUGCGGCCACUGUACUGGUGCGAGCCGGAUGCAUUCACGUACAGCUACCUCGUGCACGGGCUGAGCGCGCAGGGCCGCACCAGGAACGCGUGGGAGCUGUUCGAUGAAAUGCGCGGGAGUGGUCUCCUGGGAAGCCAUACCAGGUACUUGCAGAUCCUGUCAGAUCCCACUAAAUCAUAUCUAAAGAGAGGUGCUGGAUGUGGUGCAGGUCCUGUCAGAUACCGUGGUGCAGUUCAAGAUGAUCUAAUCCCCAUAGCCCUAUCCUUUGUGUGAAAUGUUGCUUAGUUACCAUGGUGGUUCCAAUCCAAUACAGUAAAGAGGCUCCACUAUACUGCACUCACUGAGCUUGCAUGAGUUUCGGUGUGCAACUGCAUAUUUAGCUCACAGUGCAUCACCAUGAUGGAGGCAGUGAAUGAUGGAGGUGACCUUCACAUCUCUGUGACCAUGCCUUCCAUUGAGGUAGGCACUAUUGGGGUGGCACUUGUCUUGCUUCACAGGGCGCAUGUCUGAACCUGCUCGGUGUCAGGGGCCCGAACCGUGACUCACCUGGGGCAAAUGCUAGGGACGCCGGGGUGGUGCACAUCCUCGGGAACACGGUCAUCAGGGCCCGCAGAGAUUCAGGGUUCAUCAAGAAGGUUGCUAUCAAUUACUUGUAUGCUUUCCUUAGGAAGAUCUGCAGGGAGAACAACACCAUCUUCAAUGUUCCCCAUGAGAGCCUACUGAAUGUUGGGCAGGUGUUCUAUGUGUAAGCACCGAAACCAAAUACAUGUAGUAGUUGAGAGUUUAGCUUUGGAACCACUGGAGAGAAGCUAGCUGUGUUUUGUUCGUAGCCUCGUAGGUAAUAGGAGUAUGAUAGUUCAAAGAAUUGUACAGCAAAACAGCAUAUUUAAUGUGACCAGUUGGAGCCUGAUCAGUAGUGGUUGUGUUCAUCAUGUAACUACUGUAUGCACAUCUGAAAUAGCUGGUUAUUAAAUCCAGAGUAAUUUUGGCGCUUCCUUGGCCA